rnacentral:rRNA from 1 species
UACGGGGGGGGGCAAGCGUUGUUCGGAAUUACUGGGCGUAAAGAGCGUGUAGGCGGUCCGGUAAGUCCGCUGUGAAAGUCGGGGGGCUCAACCCUCGAAUGCCGGUGGAUACUGUCGGGCUAGAGUGCGGAAGAGGCGAGUGGAAUUCCUGGUGUAGCGGUGAAAUGCGCAGAUAUCAGGAGGAACACCUAUUGCGAAGGCAGCUCGCUGGGACGUGACUGACGCUGAGACGCGAAAGCGUGGGGAGCAAACAGG